GCCAGAGCCCUGGGAGAAACGGGGGGCAGGGCGGCAGAAAGCGUUGGGGGCGGUGAAGGCGGGUGUGGGAGGCGCCAGCGUUGGGUGAUGUAGGUGGUAGAUUUGGGGGGAGGGGAGGUGACAUUGGCUGUGGAGUAGGGCAGGCUGACGCUGAGGGCAGUGAGGGGUAGGUUGUGGGAGCAGGUUUGGGAUUGUAGGGGGAGGGGAGUGCUGUGGCAGGGGGUGUUGAAGGCAUGGGGGUGGGAUACGUUUUGGGGGAUGAUGGGGACUGGGGAGGUGGCACUGGCUGUGUGUGUGGGGCAGGACUGCGCUGGGGGCAGGGAGCUGGUGGGAGGGGAGGUGGCACUGGCUGUGGCUGCGGGGCAGGGCUGCGCUGGGGGCAGGUUGGGUGCUGGUUUGGGGGGAGGUGGCACUGGCUGCGGGGCAGGGCUGCGCUGGGGCAGGUUGGGUGGUUUGGGGGAGGUGGCACUGGCUGUGGGUGUGGGGCAGGGCUGCGCUGGGGGCAGGGAGCUGGUGGGAGGGGAGGUGGCACUGGCUGUGGGUGUGGGGCAGGGCUGCGCUGGGGGCAGGGAGCUGGUGGGAGGGGAGGUGGCACUGGCUGUGGGUGUGGGGCAGGGCUGCGCUGGGGGCAGGGAGCUGGUGGGAGGGGAGGUGGCACUGGCUGUGGGUGUGGGGCAGGGCUGCGCUGGGGGCAGGGAGCUGGUGGGAGGGGAGGUGGCACUGACUUCACGGGCUGGGCUAGGCAGUGCUGGGGCAGGGGGCUGUUAGGGGAUGUUCUGCCCUCACUGGCGCCUGUGUUUCACCUUGU